rnacentral:rRNA from 1 species
UACAGAGGGUGCAAGCGUUAAUCGGAAUUACUGGGCGUAAAGCGUGCGUAGACGGUUAUGUAAGUCGGGUGUGAAAGCCCCGGGCUCAACCUGGGAAUGCCAUUCGAGACUGCAUAGCUAGGGUGCGGAAGAGGGAAGCGGAAUUUCCGGUGUGGCGGUGAAAUGCGUAGAUAUCGGAAGGAACACCAGUGGCGAAAGCGGCUUCCUGGUCCAGCACCGACGUUCAGGCACGAAAGCGUGGGGAGCAAACAGG